rnacentral:rRNA from 1 species
UUUGUAUAAUGGGUCAGCGACUUAUAUUCAGUGGCAAGGUUAACCAUCUAGGGGAGCCGUAGGGAAACCGAGUCUUAACUGGGCGUUCAGUCUCUGGAUAUAGACCCGAAACCAGGUGAUCUAGCCAUGGGCAGGUUGAAGGUUGAGUAACAUCAACUGGAGGACCGAACCGACUAAUGUUGAAAAAUUAGCGGAUGACUUGUGGCUAGGGGUGAAAGGCCAAUCAAACCUGGAGAUAGCUGGUUCUCCCCGAAAGCUAUUUAGGUAGCGCCUCGGACGAAUACUACUGGGGGUAGAGCACUGUUAAGGCUAGGGGGUCAUCCCGACUUACCAACCCUUUGCAAACUCCGAAUACCAGUAAGUACUAUCCGGGAGACACACGGCGGGUGCUAACGUCCGUCGUGGAGAGGGAAACAACCCAGACCGCCAGCUAAGGUCCCAAAUUACUACUAAGUGGGAAACGAUGUGGGAAGGCUCAGACAGCCAGGAUGUUGGCUUAGAAGCAGCCAUCAUUUAAAGAAAGCGUAAUAGCUCACUGGUCGAGUCGGCCUGCGCGGAAGAUGUAACGGGGCUAAGUAGUAAACCGAAGCUGCGGCAAUGUACUUUAGUGCAUUGGGUAGGGGAGCGUUCUGUAAGCGGUUGAAGGUGUGUGGUAACGCAUGCUGGACGUAUCAGAAGUGCGAAUGCUGACAUGAGUAACGAUAAAGGGGGUGAAAAACCUCCUCGCCGGAAGACCAAGGGUUCCUGUCCAACGUUAAUCGGGGCAGGGUAAGUCGACCCCUAAGGCGAGGCCGAAAGGCGUAGUCGAUGGGAAACGGGUUAAUAUUCCCGUACUUCUUACAAUUGCGAUGGGGGGACGGAGAAGGCUAGGUGGGCCUGGCGACGGUUGUCCAGGUUCAAGUGCGUAGGCUG